GCAGUCGCCACGGUAAAACAGAGGAUGCAAGCGUUAUCCGGAAUGAUUGGGCGUAAAGCGUGCGCAGGCGGUUGUGUAAGACAGGUGUGAAAUCCCCGGGCUUAACCUGGGAACUGCGCUUGUGACUGCACAGCUAGAGUAUGGCAGAGGGGGGUGGAAUUCCACGUGUAGCAGUGAAAUGCGUAGAGAUGUGGAGGAACACCGAUGGCGAAGGCAGCCCCCUGGGCCAAUACUGACGCUCAUGCACGAAAGCGUGGGGAGCAAACAGGAUUAGAGACCCGUGUAGUCCCUGUCUCUUAUAC
rnacentral:rRNA from 1 species